rnacentral:tRNA from 1 species
AAAAAUUUAGUUAAAAAAUAACAUUAACUUGUCAAGUUAAAAUCAUUAGCCGCCAGCCUAAUAAUUUUUA